AGGGCUGAUCUGCUUCCGGCUGUGGCUCAGUUCUCCCGCCUCAGCCUCCGCCGUGGCUCAUGGUCUUCCCUCCAUAGCACUGUCGUGGGAGCUGCCCUAGGAGCUGGCUGAGGAGGAAGAAACUUGAAGACAAUGCUCAGGACAAAACUAUCUUUUCCCCGUAGGAUGGAGACUGUGGAAUUCUAGUGAUGCUGUGAUGAAAACCAACGCAGCUGAGAAGAACAGAGCCCCUGGGAACAUUUCUGUGCCCUCACCAAACUCUCCCACCUCCAAAGGCCUCUGACACUCUGCCAACUGCCCGCACAGCCCAAUGCCAGACAUGAGUGCAAUCUGCAUCCUCGUUUCAAUGUUUCCAGUGCAUCAGCAACAUUUCCACAACUGGAUUAUAAACCUUAGCGGUUGUAUGUUACCUCUUUUGUAAAUAUCACAGCUGUCUCCGUGUGUGACCAAAACUGGGCACCCAGCAAAAGUUCUGUGGAGGACAUGGACCCUAGCAACCCUCCUGC
rnacentral:lncRNA from 1 species